CUUUGGCAGGUGGAUGAAGACUCAGGAACUUCCCAGAAUACUGCUUCACCCACUGAGCCAGGCCCAGGUUAUGGGGCAUUGUGGCUAACCCUACCAGGUGGGUACUUGGUCAGAGGAAGCACUCUAUGCUGGGCCUUUGGGGAAGUAAGGUGGUGGGAACUGGCAGAACCACUUGCCUUAAAGGUCAGGGGUGGGGAGGAAAUAAACCCAGUGUCACUUGAGGUCCUAUUUUAUCAUCAACCACAAAUGACAAUGGUUGGGUAGAUUUCCUAGGUGUGUGUAUGUGUGUAUUAACAGCAACAAAGAACAUAAAAAUAGCCUCAGAUUUCUGUGACAAUUGUUCUACUUUCCAGAUGGAUAACUGGAGAUAAAAUGAUUAGCUAUGGAAAGCCUAUGUCUAGGUGCUAAUUGUUGGGAAGGAAAUGGCCCAGGGGGUCCACUGCAAAGGUCAUGCAGACCUUAGUAAAACUCAAAUUAGAGGUCCAAAGCUCCCCAAACUGCCAGCGUGAGGUUGACCCUAGAACCACAGUAGCAAACAUCACAGGCAAAGGACAUUAGUGCUAGAAUUACAGGAGUGUGAUGCCUUCCUUGGGACUGAGCCCAUAGGCUUGUUGCAUGCUAGGCCAGCUCUAUUCAGCCUCCAAAGAUCAGUUUUUAGGCCCUGCUUCCUAUCUUCAACUAAAGCAUUUUUAAAAUGGAAACUGCUUUUUGGUGGAUUUUAGAGUUUUAAACAGAAAAAUGUUUAAAAUGGAUAAACUCCCUAAAUAAUGCUACCACAUAACCUUAUACCACAUUUUGCACUGAACGGAUAGAGAAUGUACUAUCCUAUCUUUCCAGAGUCAGAUCUAUGGUUAGGGCAUGUGAAAAGUCAGUAUCCUGGUUUUGUAAGGUUCCUACACCCUUCUCAGCUACACGGUUGAGGCUAUCCUUUGUGGUUCACAAGCUCUAAAAGCAUUGCUGCUUCCAGUUUGAUGGCAAGAAAAAUAUUGGUGCAACCUGAUGAGCGUUUUAAAGCCACUUCCUAAAUAAUUAGCACAAUUAUAGUAAGGCUCUUAGUGUUUUUAUGUAUUCAUGUACACUGUAGCUGUCUUCAGACACACCAGAAGAAGGCAUCAGAUCUCAUUACAUAUGGUUGUGAGCCACCAUGUGGUUGCUGGGAUUUGAACUCAGGACCUCUGGAACAGCAGUCAGUGCUCUUAACCUUCAAGCCAUGUCUCCAGCCCAAAAUAAACCUGUAUUUUAUUUGAAGAAUGGUUUUGAAUUCAAGGCAAACCCUUGAUAUGUGUGAAGCAAAUUUUAUGAUCUUGUACUAUGGAUGAAAAUUCACUAAGUUUCUGUUAUUUUAACAAAUUAGCAUGGCCUAUGGGAAAGCAUUUAGUAAGGAUUUCUUGUGCAUCAAAAUAUAAAAUUUGUGGGACCCAUUUGCUUUGAAUUAGACUGAUACGCAAAAGCAGGGGGUUUCUAGCCAAAAAGAUGUUUGUGUCCAGUUUAACUGACUGGGGAAGGGAGCAGAUGACACUUUAGAAAAUGAGCAGAGUUAAAACAAUUUGACUUUAACCAUUCAACAAAGUUUUUAUUUGACACGUGCUAACACGUACAUAAAGUAUUAAGUUGACAUUUCUAAAACCUGUUUCAGCAAAGUAGUAUUUUCUGCUUCACUAGUUGUCAUUGCAGGGGAUUCAUAGGUAAGUAAGCAGUCCACCAACCUAAAGCUUAUUUUGAGAUGGGACUUUAUGAAGCCCAAACUGGCUUCCACUUCCCAAGUGCUGUGAGGCACAUUCCCUCUUCAGAAGCUUGAAUUCUUAUUCCUGUAGGUAUUUUUAUUUCCAAGAUAGUAUAUAUUUAAAGCAUAGGGCAUGGUUUGGUGACACACAUUGAAGAUAAUUGCCAUUUUAUUGCAUUCACACAAUGUGCUUUUGGUGUCUGUGAAAAUGAUUUAUCCGCCUUUUAAGUGUGUGCUACAGUAUCACUAUGGUGAUGCUGUCUUCAGGAAGAAAACGGGACUUGGAAUAUGAGGUGAGUAUGCUAUUGUUGAGCUAUCUCUGCUUUUACUUUAAGGUUGAAUACUGUCCUUAUGUUGGAUCUCUAUCUUGGCUUUUGUAAAGUUUAUAAGCAAGUGCAAACCUUUUGAUAUGCCUUUAUUUUCCAAAAUAAUUAUUAAAAUUUUAAUUAAAAAGC
rnacentral:lncRNA from 1 species